rnacentral:rRNA from 1 species
AAUGAACGCUGGCGGCAUGCCUAACACAUGCAGGUCGAACGAUGCUUUCGGGCACAGUGGCGCACGGGUGCGUAACGCGUGGGAAUCCACCCCUGGGUUCGGAAUAACAGUUGGAAACGACUGCUAAUACCGGAUGAUGACGUAAGUCCAAAGAUUUAUCGCCCAGGGACGAGCCCGCGUAGGAUUAGCUAGUUGGUGGGGUAAAGGCCUACCAAGGCGACGAUCCUUAGCUGGUCUGAGAGGAUGAUCAGCCACACUGGGACUGAGACACGGCCCAGACUCCUACGGGAGGCAGCAGUGGGGAAUAUUGGACAAUGGGCGAAAGCCUGAUCCAGCAAGGCCGCGUGAGUGAUGAAGGCCUUAGGGUUGUAAAGCUCUUUUACCCGGGAUGAUAAUGACAGUACCGGGAGAAUAAGCCCCGGCUAACUCCGUGCCAGCCGCCGCAGUAA